rnacentral:misc_RNA from 1 species
GAUGAAGAACGUAGCGAAAUGCGAUAAGUAAUGCGAAUUGCAGAAUUCAGUGAAUCAUCGAAUCUUUGAACGCACAUUGCGCCCGCCAGUAUUCUGGCGGGCAUGCCUGUCUGAGCGUCGUUUCGACCCUCGCGCCCGGCUUCUGUCGGGGGCGGUGUUGGGGAUCGGCCACACCCUUCAGUGGGAGGCCGGCCCCUAAAUUCAGUGGCGACCACGCUGUAGCCUCUCCUGCGUAGUACUAAAACCACCUCGCAGGCGGAGAGCGGUGCGGCCCGCCGUAAAACCCCCCAACUUUUACAAGGUCGACCUCAGAUCAGGUAGGAAUACCCGCUGAACUUAAGCAUAUCAAUAAGCGGAGGA